rnacentral:ncRNA from 1 species
GAGAGCCGUAUGAUAGGAAACUAUCACGUACGGUUUGGGAAAGGGGUAUUAUCAUCAAAUAGAACAGUCUAAAGGGUGAGAAUCACGAGCAUUUAGGAGGGGGGGGGGGAGAACUAAAGAGACAGAGAAGAGUAAUGCUUUCUGAUCCUAG